rnacentral:pre_miRNA from 1 species
GUAGUAUUCCCUCCGUCCCAAAAUUCUUGUCUUACAUUUGUUUAGAUACGGAUGUAUCUAACACUAAAAUGUAACUAGAUACAUCCGUAUUUAGACAAAUUUAAGACAAGAAUUUGGGACGGAGGGAGUACAAA